rnacentral:lncRNA from 1 species
AUCAAUCUGCGAGUGAUCAUUGAAAUUUUAUAGGCCCAACAAGUGGCGAUAGCACAACUACAAAAUCAAAGCCGCACCCCAACAGAGUUGAGCCCGAACCAUCCGGGAAAACACCCGAAGAAAUGAGCAAGUCAUAGAAAGGCCGGGUGAAGCUGAGCUCGAGACCAAUCCUGAAAUAAUAAAAAUGCUUGAGGAACUGACAAAGUGGGUAGAAUCAGGGGAGAAAAAAAUGAAGCUAACGACAAAAAAUUAGAGACCUAUAAUUCCGGGGUUGAUCAAAUCCCAGGAGCGCCCCAUAUUGAAAGGCCUGGAAUCCAAGAAAUUUUCCAAAAGCCUUUCCCUUCGAUUGCGGCACCGAAGCCAAUCCCGAAGAAGUUUCGUAUGCCCGAUAUUCCGAAGUAUAACGGGACCAUGGAUCCAAAUGAGCACGUGAUCUCCUACACGUGUACCAUCAAGGAAAAUGACUUGUAAGAUGACGAGAUGAAGUUGGUUUUGUUAAAAAAGUUCGGAGAAACACUAUCAAAAGGAGUAAUGAUAUGAUGUCACAACUUACCCCCAAAUUCUAUUAAUUCGUUUGCUAUGCUUGUAGAUGCCUUUGUGAAAGUGCAUGCCGGGGCCAUCCAGGUUGAGACCAGAAAAUCAAACCUUUACAAAGUAAAAUAAAGAGAUAACAAAAUGCUUAGGGAAUUCGUAUCGAGGUUUCAAAUGGAACAAAUGGACCUUUCUCCGGCUGCGGAUGAUUGGGCCAUUCAAGUGUUUACUCAAGGACUCAUCCCCUAAAGCUCCUUGGCUUCACAAUAUUUGAAAUAGAAUUUGAUCGAGUACCCGGCGGUAACAUGGGCCGAAGUCCAUAACAGGUACCAGUCAAAAUUCAGAGUCGAGGACGAUCAACUUGCGGACCCCUCCAGAUCCAUUUAUCCCGUCAGAACUAAUAACAUGCCUAAGAGAGCCGUCGAUCAUGAACAAAGACUGAACAAAUACCGGUAUCAACCGUAUAGCAGAGAUCGAAGGGGUAAGGAUCUGGGCGUAACCUUGUGAGAAAUGAAAGGAGGAUCGAUCGAUGCCACAAUAGUCGGGGACUCAUGAACAAAAAUAGUUUCGACAGGCCACUCGGGGCCAGAGAGGAACUUAGGUUAUCGGAUUAUAACUUCAAUCUCGAUGUUAGCAGCAUCGUAUCUGCCAUCAGGCACAUUAAAGAUACCAAGUGGCUUUGACCAUUGUAGUCCGACCCUAACCUGAUGUGUAAGUAUCAUGGCACUCAUGGCCACAUGACUGAGUACUGCUGAUGAUUAAGAUAAGAAGUGGCCCGACUAUUCAAUAACGUGCAUCUCCUGUAAUUUCUGAGUGAUCAAAAGUCACUUCAGGAACAAGGACUUCAACAAACAGACCGUGCAAGAAGAAAAAAUGUAUAUCGCAUGGAAAAAAUGAACCUGAUAUUAUAUCAGGGAGGGAACCAUUUCGUUCAAUGAUGAGGACGCUGAAGGCAUCGUAUAACCGCAUAAUAAUGCACUGGUAAUAUCUGUACUUAUAAAUAAAUCUCGAGUUAAGCGUGUGUUGAUUAAUCCAGUUAGCUCAGGCAACAUCAUCAGAUCGAGGGUCGUGGAGCAGUUGGGUCUACAAGACCAAAUAGUGCCAGUAGUCCGGGUUUUAAACGGAUUCAACAUGGCAUGAGAAACUACCAAAGGAGAAAUAACCUUGCCAGUAAAUACUGCCGGGAAAAUUCAGGAUACCAAAUUCUACGUGGUCGAGGGGGACAUGAGGUAUAAUGCCUUAUUCAUAAGGCUUUGGGUUCACAACAUGAGGGAAGUACCCUCGACACAACACCAGGCACUAAAGUUCCCCACUGGGAGGUAUCAAGAAAAUUUAUGAAGAGCAGCCGGCCGAAAAAGAAAUGUUCGCAGUCGUUGAAGUGAUCCCGAUGUCCUCACUCUCGACAUCAAAGUACACGGAGCUAGUUAAGAAGGAAGAAAGUAAAUGGCAAUCACCGAUAUUGGCCUCGACCAAACAGGAGAAGCAAGGAGCAGGCGAGGAUGAUGGCUACGGAGUCCCUAGGUCGUUUAUCACGUGAUGAUUCUGAUGCCACCACGUCGACAGUUGAGGAGCUGGAGCAAGUCAUAUUAAUUGAACACUUUCCCAAUCGGAAGGUAUACCUGGGCACGGGCUAACUCCCGAGCUUUGAAAAAAACUCAUUCAAUUCCUUAUGACUAACAUAGACUGUUUCUCUUGGUCCUAUCUAGAUAUGAUAGGGAUCCCGCCAGAGAUAACCACUCAUAAGUUGAGCUUGGAUACGAAGUUCCACUCGGUUUAACAGAAGAGAAGAUCGCAGUCCAAAUUCAAGCAUACAUUCAUCAAAGACGAGAUAUCUAAACUCCUUAAAAUAGGUUCCAUUCGGGAAGUUAAGCACCCGGAUUGGUUAGCUAAUGUAGUGGUAGUGCCUAAAAAGGGAAAUAAAUUAAGAAUGUGCAUAGAUUAUAAAGACUUGAACAAGGCGUGCCCUAAGGACUCUUUUCCUUUUCCUAACAUCGAUCACAUAAUUGAUGUGAUGGCUAGGCACGAGAUACUCAGCUUCCUCGACGCCUAUUCCGGGUACAACCAGAUCCGGAUGGACCCGGGCGAUCAAGAGAAAACUUCCUUUAUCACUAAAGUCGGUACCUAUCGUUAUAACAUAAUGCCGUUCGGACUAAAGAACACCUGCGCCAUUUAUCAACGCCUAGUAAACUGGAUGUUCGAAGAACAAAUAGAUAAAUAAAUGGAAGUUUAUAUUGAAGACUUGUAAGUUAAGUUCCUACAAGCAGAAGACCAUUUGAAACACUUGCAUGAAACCUUUGACAUAUUGAAGAGAUACAAUAUGAAGUUGAACCCGGAAAAAUGUGCAUUCAGGGUCGUGUCUGAAAAAUUCCUUGGAUUCAUGGUGUCCAACCGAGGGAUUGAGAUCAAUCCCAAUACAACCAAACCUAUAAAAGAAAUCACCAUGGUGGGCAGUGUCAAGGCCAUUCAGAGGCUAACCGGGCGCAUAACCACCCCGGGCUGGUUCAUAUCAAGAUCCUUAGGUAAAAGUCAUUGGUUCUUCUCGCUAUUGAAGAAGAAGAAUAACUUUUUUUGGACUCCGGAAUGCAACAAGCUUUGGAAGAGCUUAAACGGUUCCUUUCGAGUCUACCCCUGCUCCAUACUCUGAAGGCGGAUGAGCAGUUGUACCUUUACUUGGAAGUAUCUGAGGUGGCGGUAAGCGGGGUCUUAGUCCGAGAAGAGGAAGGUACGUGAUUUCCUACUUACUAUGUUAGUAGAACUCUAGGCGAGGCCGAAACGAGGUAUCCUCACCUGGAAAAACUAGCGCUCGCUUUGCUAAGCACCUCCAGAAAGUUGAAACUAUACUUUCAAUACCACCCCAUAUGUGUCGUAACCUCUUACCCGCUAAGGAAUAUUAUACACAAACCGAGCUCUCGAGUAGGUUUUCUACAUGGGUCGUAGAAAUUAGUGAGUAUGAUAUCGAAUAUCGACCUCGAACCGCCAUCAAAUCACAAAUCUUGGCAGACUUCGUGGCCGACUUUACCCCGAACUUACUAUCCGAAGUUGAAAAGGAACUGUUGUUAACCUCGAGGUCUUCCUUGGGAAUCUAGACCCUCUUUAUGGAUGAUGCUUCGAACGCAAAUGGGUCUGGACUCGGCAUCGUGUUGAAGCCGCAUAUGGGAAACGUAGUUAGGCAGUAUAUUAGAACUGUGAAAUUGACUAAGAAUAAGGCCGAGUAUGAGGCCAUGAUUGCAGGUCUCGAAUUGGCUAAAAGCCUUGGGGUCGAGGUGGUCCAAGCUAAGUGCGAUUCUCUCCUUGUGGUACAUUCAAAGUAAAAAAGGAACAAAUGCGAAGGUGUUUAGAAAAAUUGUAGGUAAUGCUGCAUCAAUUCAAGGAAUGGACCUUAUAGUACGUGCCUCGAGAUCAAAAUAGCAAGGCCAAUGCUCUAGCUAACUUGGGGUCAUCGGUUGAUGACAAUGAAUUUAGCUCAGGAACAGUCGUACAAGUCAUGAAGUCAGUAGUGGAAGAAGGCCAUGCCGAAAUAAACUCAACAAGUUUAACUUGGGAUUGCAAAAACAAGUAUAUAGACUAUUUGAAAACUAGGAAGUUGCCCUCGGAUCCUAAAGAAUCAGAGCUCUACGCAGAAGGAGGCCAGAUUCAGCCUAUCCGAAGGGAUUUUGUUCAGAAGAACAUUCGACGGCCUGCUCGCCAUAUGCUUGGGGCUGGGAGAUACCGAAUAUGUAUUGAGAGAAGUUCACAAAGGCACCUCUAAAAACCAUUCGGGGGCAGAAUCUUUGGUUUGGAAGAUAAUCAGGGCCGACUAUUACUGGAUCGAUAUGGAAAAAGAUGCAAAGGACUUUGUACGAAGAUGUGACGGCUGUCAAAGGCACGCACUGAUGAUCCAUCAACCCGGAUAACUACUCCAUUCGGUCUCAUCCCCAUGGCCAUUCAUGAAAUUGGGAAUGGACAUCAUCGGUCCCAUGCCGUGGGCACCUGGUAAGGCUCAAUUCAUACUGUUUAUAACCGAUUAUUUUUCUAAAUGGGUCGAAGCUCAAAUGUUCAAUAAAGUUUGAGAAAAAGAAGUCACUGACUUUAUUUGGGACCACAUAAUAUUCUAGUUUGUGAUACCGGCCGAGAUCGUAUGUGAUAACAGGAAUCAAUUCAUCGGCAGCAAGGUAAAGAAGUUUUUUGAAGACCACAAGAUUAAAAAUAUACUAUCCAUACCCUAUCACCGUAGUGGGAAUGGACAAGCAAAAUCUACCAACAAGACCAUACUCCAAAACUUGAAAAAUAGGUUGACCGAUGCCAAAGGGAAGUGGAAGGAAAUUUUUUCCAAAGUCUUAUAUGCGUACCAUAAAACUUCGAAAUCUAGUAUUGGGGCCACCCUGGUUUCAUUGGUCUACUGUACCGAAGCACUAAUAUCGGUCGAAGUGGGAGAAUCAAGCCUCAGGUUCUGACGUGCGACCGAAGAAUCAAACGGUGAGGCCAUGAGCACGAGCUUGGAACUAUUAGAUGAAAGGAGCGAGGCUGUCCUAUUUCGGUUGGCUGCCAAAAUCAGCGGAUAGAAAGGUAUUACAACCGAAGAGCCAACUCAAAAUCUAGUAUUGGAGCCUAAUCUCGAUAUUUUAAAUAAUUGUGAAUCUUUUACUUUAUUUCGUCACAAAAAGUGAAUAUUACAAAAAUAUUUUAGUUUACGUAUCUUUCAUAAAUUUAAAUAAAAAAUAUACAAAAAUAGUACCUUAUUUUUAUUUUUAUACAUAAUCUUGAAAACAUAAAAAUAGUUUCAUAGUGUAGUUCACUUAAUUAAGAUUAGUUUUAUAUUUUUAUAUUAUAAUUGUAUAUAAUUUUAGAAGGAGGAAUUAGUUUUGGGUUGAUUUAUCCCGUCUUUAUGAAUCUUGCAGUCCAUUUUUUUUGUCUUUGGCCCAAUUCCCAAGCCCAUAAUUCCUAAGGCUAAAAAUAAGCCGCAAUACACUCUAUGGGGAUCAGCUAAAAGAAUAAAAAAUUGAGGAGCUAAUUUCCUAAGAAAAAAGGCUGACCUAACGCCUAAAAAGGCUGCAGCGCCGCAAUUCUCAAAAAGAACCCCCCGUUCAUUUCAAUCAGCAAUCAACGUUCUUCUUCACCAAAAUCACGAAGCAACAACCAUUUUUGUAAGCUUAGACCCAUCAACAAGCAACCAAGUGAACUAAUGACACAGUUUCUUCUUCACAAAACCGGUGAAAAACCCCUUUUCUUCAGAACACAGCUGCAACAGCCAUAAACACGAUCUCGUUCCUUGUCUUCCUCACCCCAUUUCAUCGUUAGCAGUUCAGCGACAGCCAUGGCUGAGCAACUCCGGCGAAUCACCAAAUAAUAAUCAACAAUCGAACUCCGGCGUAAAACAACCCUUGUGAUGUCCAAAGUUGUCGUCCAAGCUCACUCAAGUUGAAUCCGACGAGAAAUCUGGCGAGUUUCGAGGUUUGGUCGUAGUUCCAUCGAGGGUUAGUAAAUUUUUCGGUCGAGGUCAGUGUCGAGUCUCAGAUUCAUGUAAAGUUUCAUUUUUGGCCUCACCCUUGACUGAUAUAGAACUUCUGAAUUUUAUAAUGCAUGUAGAAAGAAGUAUUGUUGUUAAUGAACAUUUGUAUAUAUGUGUUUGACAAAUUUGAGUUGAUCUGCUUCAUUUUCAUGUAUGUUGGUUUCAUAAUAAC